rnacentral:misc_RNA from 1 species
GUGAGGCCUUCUGACUGGCGCCGAUACUCUGGCAACAGAGCGCCGGAUGCCGGGAAGUUGGUCAAACUUGAUCAUUUAGAGGAAGUAAAAGUCGUAACAAGGUUUCCGUAGGUGAACCUGCGGAAGGAUCAUUACCGAUAACAAUUCCAAUCUUAAAAUGGUUUUUUAACCUCUGUGAACCGUACACAAUCUUUAGGGGUCGGUGGCGCUUUUACCGUUAAAUGGUCGUCGGUCCGUGCAUUCGGCUUUCGGCCAGCCCCGCCAUUUUCGUUUGUUGACACACUUCAAUGUAUUGCUCUGAAACAUAUCUGCCCUUUCUUUUUUUUUUUGAUUCCAAAAAACAAAAAAGACGGGCGAGUGACAAAAAAACAUCAGGAGACAACUUUUAACGGUGGAUCUCUAGGCUCACGUAUCGAUGAAGAACGCAGCCAGCUGCGAUAAGUAGUGUGAAUUGCAGAAUUCAGUGAAUCAUUGAAUCUUUGAACGCAAAUGGCGCUCUUGGGUUCUCCCAGGAGCAUGUCUGUCUGAGUGUCGGAUAUCAUCUAACGCACUCGUUUAGUGUGCGGAAUUGAGGCGUCACGGCGUUCUCUCUCGCCGUGUCCCUUGAAGGAAAGCGUGUUAGACUCGCAUCGUGCGCGGUUUCAAAAAAACCUGCACUCCAUGCGAAGGCUAAAGACAUUAUUUUGUCCUUCGUCUGGGUGCCGGUCCGCCAGCGCGAGUCGGCCGAAA